rnacentral:rRNA from 1 species
UACGUAGGGUGCAAGCGUUAAUCGGAAUUACUGGGCGUAAAGCGCACGCAGGCGGUCUGUCAAGUCAGAUGUGAAAUCCCCGGGCUUAACCUGGGAACUGCAUUUGAAACUGGCAGGCUUGAGUCUCGUAGAGGGGGGUAGAAUUCCAGGUGUAGCGGUGAAAUGCGUAGAGAUCUGGAGGAAUACCGGUGGCGAAGGCGGCCCCCUGGACGAAGACUGACGCUCAGGUGCGAAAGCGUGGGGAGCAAACAGG